GUAAACAAACUCAACGUAUCUCAAUCAAUACGAAACUUGAUUACAGCUUCGAAUAUGCACUCAAGAGAUAUCAGAUUCACUCUCGCGAGCUUCUCCGAGCACUCUCAUACGAGUCUCAACUGAUGACAUUUGUGAAUUAGAGAGAUUUGUGUCUUAAAAGAACUUAUUGAGACAUAAAAGAAAGUGAUACAGACAUAGCUCAAAGAGCUUUAUUAUGCAAGAAACAGAAAUAAAGGAGGAAGCUUUAGAUUGCCUUCAAAAUCAAAAUGAUUCUAAAUUGAUAUUCAUAAAUGAAGGGGAAGCUCCCUUUACA
rnacentral:lncRNA from 1 species